rnacentral:rRNA from 1 species
UACGUAGGUGGCAAGCGUUAUCCGGAUUUACUGGGUGUAAAGGGAGCGUAGACGGCGAUGCAAGUCUGAAGUGAAAGCCCGGGGCUCAACCCCGGGACUGCUUUGGAAACUGUAUGGCUGGAGUGCUGGAGAGGCAAGCGGAAUUCCUAGUGUAGCGGUGAAAUGCGUAGAUAUUAGGAAGAACACCAGUGGCGAAGGCGGCUUGCUGGACAGUAACUGACGUUGAGGCUCGAAAGCGUGGGGAGCAAACAGG